UCAAAUCUGGAUCAUUGGACGCGCUUCCCACGAUCUAAUCCUGACCCUUGUUAUGUUUGACUUCAUUUAAUGCACGAUACCACGCGCUUGACACAUGUACAUGGUGAGCGUGCACAUGUGGAGCGUCUGGUCAGCCACAUCAAUUAAUGAGGCUUGAUCAGAUGCCUCUCCUUUUUUCUGUUUUUUUAAUUUCCAUUUUUAUUUCUU
rnacentral:lncRNA from 1 species